rnacentral:rRNA from 1 species
GACGUAGGAUGCAAGCGUUGUCCGGAAUUAUUGGGCGUAAAGAGUUCGUAGGCGGUUGCCUAAGUCUGAUGUUAAAGCCCGGAGCUCAACUCCGGCAUGGCAUUGGAAACUGGGCAGCUAGAGUGCUGUAGAGGUAAUGGGAAUUCCCGGUGUAGCGGUGAAAUGCGCAGAUAUCAGGAGGAACACCCAUUGCGAAGGCAGCUCGCUGGGACGUAACUGACGCUGAGACGCGAAAGCGUGGGGAGCAAACAGG